CAGUAAAAUAUGCACGCGAAACAAUGAAAUGAAAAUAUCAGACCUCAUACUGCAUUUAAAACUGUAAAAUAUGCCAAAUAACAGUUAACCGACAAACACACUAGACUCGGGCUCCAUUAGCGACCUUAAGAAAUUUCACACAUUCGUUGAUUCAAGAAAUACCGUUUUAUCAUUAUUGAACUUUAAUACCGUGAUAGGAAAUAGGGUGAGGGGUCCU
rnacentral:lncRNA from 1 species